rnacentral:rRNA from 1 species
UACGGGGGGAGCAAGCGUUGUUCGGAUUUACUGGGUGUAAAGGGCGCGUAGGCGGCGUGACAAGUCACUUGUGAAAUCUCCGGGCUUAACUCGGAACGGUCAAGUGAUACUGUCGGACUAGAGUACAGAAGGGGCAACUGGAAUUCUCGGUGUAGCGGUGAAAUGCGUAGAUAUCGAGAGGAACACCUGCGGCGAAGGCGGGUUGCUGGGCUGAUACUGACGCUGAGGCGCGAAAGCCAGGGGAGCGAACGGG